rnacentral:rRNA from 1 species
CCCGGGCCUUGUACACACCGCCCGUUACGCCAUGGAAGUCGGGAGUGCCCGAAGUCCGCGUCCUAACCGCAAGGAGGGAACGGCCUAAGGCAAGCUCGAUGACUGGGGCG